AUUGAACGCUAGCGGCAGGCCUUACACAUGCAAGUCGAACGAGUGGCGGACGGGUGAGUAAUAUCUCGGAACGUGCCCAAUGGAGGGGGAUAACUACUCGAAACGGUGGCUAAUCCCGCAUACCAUUGGAUGUGCCGAUAUGGGAUUAGCUAGUUGGUGGGGUAAAGGCUCACCAAGGCGACGAUCCCUAGCUGGUUUGAGAGGACGACCAGCCAAACUGGGACUGAGAAACGGCCCAGACUCCUACGGGAGGCAGCAGUGGGGAAUUUUGGACAAUGGGGGAAAGCCUGAUGCAGCCAUGCCGCGUGUAUGAGAAGGCCUUCGGGUUGUAAAGUACUUUUGGCGGGGAAGCGUUAUCUGCAGAAGAAGCACCGGCUAACUACGUGCCAGCAGCCGCGGUAAUAC
rnacentral:rRNA from 1 species